CCCGAGCACUGCUUCCGUCUGGAGGGAGAGAACCGCAUGACCCUCUGUUCCACUGGCAUCUAACCACCCCCUGGCCCCCACCCCAAUCUCCCUUCCAUGGAAAGGCACAGCCAUGCCUGCCACAUCUUUACCUGCUGGUGCAAGAUGGUGAGGGUAGCGGGGGCCACGCUGACAUGGCUUGGAGUCCACUGCUCACGGCUACUGGAGGACAGAACUGACUCCAAGGCCCCAUUUAUCACAUCUACCCCUGGAAGAUACGAACGUGAACACGGCACCAACUGGGGCUGUGGCCAUCUCAAGGACAGAAACCAAGCAUAGUCCAUCUGUGUCCCCAGUCCUGACACUGGGCUCAUCUGCUAAAGGAAUUCCAGAUGCUUGAGCAAGUCACCCGGGAGGCAACAUGGGCAAAUGCACCCAAACUGGUACAACCGAGUAGCCCAGGAGCCCACAGAAGGGUGGCGGUGCAGCAGGAGCGGUGGCCCAGGUCAGACUGCACCCAGCUGUGAUGUUCCGACACUGACACCAGCCAGUGAAAGAUUACGUGUGGAUGAGAUACCAAUCCGGUAAUAAGCAGCCGGUGCUGUGGGGUGGAGCCUGGCCUCCGUGUGGGGAGGAUUACCAUGGAGGUGGAGAAAGCAGCAGAACAAAGUGACCUGGAAAGUCUGCCAUAUCUGUUAAUGACUAAGGACUAAAACCUACACUGAUUCCCAGCCCUUAUCUUGCUGUCCUUUUUUUUUUUCCAUGUCAAUUGUUGCCUUCUAACACACUAUAUAAUUUAUUCAUUUUAUUGUCUAUCCUGGCUAGAAUGUCAGCUACUUGAAGACAGCGAUCUUUGUUGGCUUUGUUCAUUAAUAUACACCAAAAACCUAAAAUAGUGCCAGGCACAAAUGAGGCACUCCCUAGUCCUGUUGAGUCAGUGGGUGAUUAAUGAGUGACUGCUGCAGCCUCAGGAGAGGCCAAUGGUAAACUCCUGGAUGUUAAAAAGGGAGCACAGGAUCAAGCAGCAAGUGAGUUUAGGGACUAGUGGUGUGAAAGCUGCAGCUUCAACAAAGCAGACCCACAGAGCUGAUGGGCAGCGAGGGGGAGAGGCAGUCAAGGGCUGCAUACGGUUGCCUUAGCAUAGUGAGACGCUAUGUAAGGUGCCAGGUGGAUUUGGGAGUAGGUGUGAUAACUGGGAGGUGACAGGGUUUAGCAGCUGAGGGUGAGAGGGAGGAGGGCAAAGGGAGGGGGGCCUUGCUUCUCUCCCCUUCUCCCUGUAGCUGCCCAUUUGGUGGGUCAUGCUUCUCCACACCCAUGGUUUUGAUGACCUCUAUGACCCUGUGCUUCCCACAUUUGUAUCUCCAGUCCAAACCUCUCCUCUGUGAAUCCAACUGCCAAAGUAGUUUGCCUCAGACAUGGCAUGUCCAAAACUGAGCUCCAGUCUCCAUACUGGCCUCUUCAAGACUCUGCUACCUUUAGAGAACAGCCCCACUAUCUGGUUCGUUCCAAAAGCCAGGAACCAGGAGGCAGCUUUAAUGCCUCUCUGUCCCUCAUCCCACAGUCAAUCAAUCACCAAGGCCUGUGGAUUUUAAUUGUCUCAAUAACUCUUGAAUCUACAUGCUCCUCUUCAGCUGCACCACGGUCCAAGAUACUCAUUAAUGGCUACAACUGCUACAAGAUCCUUCUAACUGAGCUCCUCACACCUACCUCCACCCACUGACCACCUUUCUCCAGGAUACAGCAAAGUGAGCUGUACAAAAUUCCUGUCUGAUUACACAAGUGCUCUCUGCAAACUCUUCAGUAACUCCGUGAGGCUCUUAGGAUGAAAAACAGAUUUGUUAACAUAGCCUAUGAGGUCCCUGGGGUCUAAGUGCUGCCCGGCUCCCAGCACAUCUGGCCUGCCUGGCCUUCUCUUAACGCCUUUGAAGUUCCAAAGUGCCUUCCACCCUCCUCACACACACCAUUCACUCUGCCUGGAAAGAUCCUUCCCUACUGUACUCCUAUCUCCCUCCCACUUUACCACUUUAGUUCCUACUCAUUUUUCAUCUCAAUUCAAUGUCACUUCCUCAAGAAUGUCUUAGUUCUGACUCCUUAAACUAAAUGAUGUUCCUCUGUUAAA